GUCGUCGCCUGUGACCAGCUAGCGCGUGGUCCGUUCCCACUAGCGCCAUUGCCCUGUGGUGUGACGUCAUUAAAAGUGGGUGAUCACGUGACUAUCCCGCGCACAGGAUAUUUCGGUUGCGAUCAAGUUGACGUCAUAAUGGUGACAUGGUUCAUGAAAGCCAAUGCUAGCGAUUAUAGCUCGUGAAGGGAAGUUCCUGCAGCAGACGACAGAAUCACGCAAACACAGAUCGACACCAUCCCCGGAAACCCGAUACCUUGCGAGUCGUGUAAUACCAUAGGGGACUGUGGUGUGCAUUUCGGCACGAACAUAAAUAGGGUCAUGAUGUUUGCCUUCAUCUGCUUCUAUUGUGCGGAAAAGUUCGAAGUGUUUGAAGCAAUAAUUAAACAUCGCAAACAUCGCCACCUGAAACAGGACAUAAAAUAUAAGCAACUUGAACUAGAUAGCACUACAGGCUUACUAGGGAACCAUUUCUUUGAUACCAGUGAUAGAAUACGUGUCAAAGGGAAACGGAAAAGCGGUCUCAUUCGUGCCCCGGAGUGUCCAGCUAAGCGACAGAAAGGUGUAAGACAGUAUCAUUCAUCAGACGAAUCCAAGAUUCUUGCGCAUGUUCGUAAAGGCUUAUCAGACAUUUGAAGGGCAUAGACAACACAACAUUGAAUACUAAAACAUGGAUAUAACAUGUACAUGUAAUGUUAUGAUUUAAAAAGUAAGAAUAACAGAUUGCAAGAACACAGUAUUUAUAGAUUUAUUUGAAAAUGAUUGAGACAAUGAUUACCAUGGAAACAUUGAUCAUAAAGAAUUAAACAGUAAUUAAUGUAACAAAUGAUAAGUAUAAACAAGAAAGGUGUUUUCUUCUUUCCAAAACAUUAUUUAUA